rnacentral:misc_RNA from 1 species
UCCGGCUUAUCACCGGCGGUUUCUUUAGAGUGCCCAACUAAAUGAUGGCAACUAAAGACGAGGGUUGCGCUCGUUGCGGGACUUAACCCAACAUCUCACGACGCGAGCUGACGACAGCCAUGCACCACCUGUGCACCGGCCCCGAAGGGCUGCCGUGUUUCCACGACAUUCCCGUGCAUGUCAAGCCUUGGUAAGGUUCUUCGCGUCGCGUCGAAUUAAACAACAUGCUCCGCUGCUUGUGCGGGCCCCCGUCAAUUCCUUUGAGUUUUAACCUUGCGGCCGUACUCCCCAGGCGGUCAACUUCACGCGUUAGCUACGGUACCCAGAAAUCGCUUCCCGAACACCUAGUUGACGUCGUUUAGGGCGUGGACUAC